rnacentral:rRNA from 1 species
UCCUACGGGGGGCAGCAGUAGGGAAUCUUCCCCAAUGGACGAAAGUCUGAUGGAGCAACGCCGCGUGAGUGAAGAAGGGUUUCGGCUCGUAAAGCUCUGUUGGUAGUGAAGAAAGAUAGAGGUAGUAACUGGCCUUUAUUUGACGGUAAUUACUUAGAAAGUCACGGCUAACUACGUGCCAGCAGCCGCGGUAAUACGUAGGUGGCAAGCGUUGUCCGGAUUUAUUGGGCGUAAAGCGAGUGCAGGCGGGUUAAUUAAGCUUGUGUGGAAAGCUUCG